UCCUGUAAAAACAGCUAUAAUGAUAACAUUGGGGAAUUACUAACAUCAAUUAGAGGAGAUCGUAGAUGGAUCACUAGGAAUUGUUUCAAGCCUUUGAAAUUUGACACUAAAGCCCAAAGAGAAGAUGAUCAUAGUGGUAACAGUAUUGACGAUAUUAAUAAACCUCGUAGAGGAUUUAAAUGGUGGAUUCUUGUGAUCAUUUAUGUAUUUUUUUUUUCUGGAACAGUUCUGUGUGUAAACUUAUUGAUGAGAGAUAACACAGAUAUUGGUGCAUUUCUUUAUGUAUAUUAUAUGAUAUUAAUUUGGACAAGCAAAAAACUGAAGAAGUUUUUUAGAAAUAAAGUACAUUUGGCAGAACUGAUGGAAGGCCUAAUGAGAUCCUUUUAUCAGGACACAUGCUGCUUUACAAUUACAAAGAUGAUUUCACAGAUUACCAUUACCUUCCAAAAAGAAAAAUGGAAACUAAUGGAGGGCUCUUAUGCCUACUGCUAUAAUUCCUACUGACCAAUUUUGAACAGAUGCAAGAUGUGGCCAGAAUUAAUUAAGCUGAAUCAAAACUAAGUAUUAUUUUUCUUACUGCCUAAUUGCUGUUGCCAUAAUUUGUAUUUGAUUGUUUUUAGUAAUAUAGUGUAUGUAAUACUUAUGGCAUGUAUUCACCCCUUUCAUUUUUAUGCUAAAUUUGGUGUAUUUUUUCAUAUUAUUUUUGCUUUCUCAUUUCUACUUUUUAAAGAUCCUUUUUUUGCUACAUAA